AUUGAACGCUGGCGGAAUGCUUUACACAUGCAAGUCGAACGGUAGAGGGGGCAACCCCCUUGAGAGUGGCGAACGGGUGAGUAAUAUAUCGGAACGUGCCCAGUCGUGGGGAUAACGUAGCGAAAGUUACGCUAAUACCGCAUACGAUCUACGGAUGAAAGCGGGGGACUCGCAAGAGCCUCGCGCGAUUGGAGCGGCCGAUAUCAGAUUAGGUAGUUGGUGGGGUAAAGGCUCACCAAGCCGACGAUCUGUAGCUGGUCUGAGAGGACGACCAGCCACACUGGGACUGAGACACGGCCCAGACUCCUACGGGAGGCAGCAGUGGGGGAAUAUUUGGACAAUGGACGCAAGUCUGAUCCAGCCAUUCCCGCGUGCAGGAUGAAGGGCCCUCGGGUUGUAAACGUGCUUUUGUACGGACGAAAGGUUUCUAUUAAUACUAGGAGCUCAUGACGGUACCGUAAGAAUAAGCACGGCUAACUACGUGCCAGCAGCCGCGGUAAAGUG
rnacentral:rRNA from 1 species